rnacentral:rRNA from 1 species
GAGUGGCGAACUGGUGAGUAACACGUGGGAAACCUGCCCAGAAGCGGGGGAUAACACCUGGAAACAGAUGCUAAUACCGCAUAACAACUUGGACCGCAUGGUCCGAGCUUGAAAGAUGGCUUCGGCUAUCACUUUUGGAUGGUCCCGCGGCGUAUUAGCUAGAUGGUGGGGUAACGGCUCACCAUGGCAAUGAUACGUAGCCGACCUGAGAGGGUAAUCGGCCACAUUGGGACUGAGACACGGCCCAAACUCCUACGGGAGGCAGCAGUAGGGAAUCUUCCACAAUGGACGAAAGUCUGAUGGAGCAACGCCGCGUGAGUGAAGAAGGGUUUCGGCUCGUAAAACUCUGUUGUUAAAGAAGAACAUAUCUGAGAGUAACUGUUCAGGUAUUGACGGUAUUUAACCAGAAAGCCACGGCUAACUACGUGCCAGCAGCCGCGGUAAUACGUAGGUGGCAAGCGUUGUCCGGAUUUAUUGGGCGUAAAGCGAGCGCAGGCGGUUUUUUAAGUCUGAUGUGAAAGCCUUCGGCUCAACCGAAGAAGUGCAUCGGAAACUGGGAAACUUGAGUGCAGAAGAGGACAGUGGAACUCCAUGUGUAGCGGUGAAAUGCGUAGAUAUAUGGAAGAACACCAGUGGCGAAGGCGGCUGUCUGGUCUGUAACUGACGCUGAGGCUCGAAAGUAUGGGUAGCAAACAGGAUUAGAUACCCUGGUAGUCCAUACCGUAAACGAUGAAUGCUAAGUGUUGGAGGGUUUCCGCCCUUCAGUGCUGCAGCUAACGCAUUAAGCAUUCCGCCUGGGGAGUACGGCCGCAAGGCUGAAACUCAAAGGAAUUGACGGGGGCCCGCACAAGCGGUGGAGCAUGUGGUUUAAUUCGAAGCUACGCGAAGAACCUUACCAGGUCUUGACAUACUAUGCAAAUCUAAGAGAUUAGACGUUCCCUUCGGGGACAUGGAUACAGGUGGUGCAUGGUUGUCGUCAGCUCGUGUCGUGAGAUGUUGGGUUAAGUCCCGCAACGAGCGCAACCCUUAUUAUCAGUUGCCAGCAUUAAGUUGGGCACUCUGGUGAGACUGCCGGUGACAAACCGGAGGAAGGUGGGGAUGACGUCAAAUCAUCAUGCCCCUUAUGACCUGGGCUACACACGUGCUACAAUGGAUGGUACAACGAGUUGCGAACUCGCGAGAGUAAGCUAAUCUCUUAAAGCCAUUCUCAGUUCGGAUUGUAGGCUGCAACUCGCCUACAUGAAGUCGGAAUCGCUAGUAAUCGCGGAUCAGCAUGCCGCGGUGAAUACGUUCCCGGGCCUUGUACACACCGCCCGUCACACCAUGAGAGUUUGUAACACCCAAAGUCGGUGGGGUAACCUUUUAGGAACCAGCCGCCUAAG